rnacentral:snRNA from 1 species
GCUUCGGCAGCACAGACUAAAAUUGGAACGAUACAGAGAAGAUUAGCAUGGCCCCUG